AUUGAACGCUGGCGGCAUGCCUUACACAUGCAAGUCGAACGGCAGCACGGGGCAACCUGGUGGCGAGUGGCGAACGGGUGAGUAAUGCAUCGGAACGUGCCAUUGAGUGGGGGAUAACGUAGCGAAAGUUGCGCUAAUACCGCAUAUUCUGUGAGCAGGAAAGCAGGGGACCGCAAGGCCUUGCGCUCUUUGAGCGUCCGAUGUCAGAUUAGCUAGUUGGUGAGGUAACGGCUUACCAAGGCGACGAUCUGUAGCGGGUCUGAGAGGAUGAUCCGCCACACUGGAACUGAGACACGGUCCAGACUCCUACGGAGGCAGCAGUGGGGAAUUUUGGACAAUGGGCGCAAGCCUGAUCCAGCCAUGCCGCGUGAGUGAAGAAGGCC
rnacentral:rRNA from 1 species